UACGUAGGGUGCGAGCGUUAAUCGGAAUUACUGGGCGUAAAGCGCACGUAGGCGGCUUAGCAAGUCGGAAGUGAAAGCCCUUGGCUCAACCAAGGAAGUGCUUUCGAAACUGCUGAGCUUGAGUAGUUAAGAGGAUCGCGGAAUUCCCGGUGUAGAGGUGAAAUUCGUAGAUAUCGGGAGGAACACCAGUGGCGAAGGCGGCGAUCUGGGAACAUACUGACGCUGAGGUGCGAAAGCGUGGGGAGCAAACAGG
rnacentral:rRNA from 1 species